rnacentral:rRNA from 1 species
AUACGGAGGAUCCGAGCGUUAUCCGGAUUUAUUGGGUUUAAAGGGUGCGCAGGCGGCCAUUUAAGUCAGCGGUUAAAUCGUGGGGCUCAACCCCAUUCUGCCGUUGAUACUGGGUGGCUUGAUUGCGGUCGAGGUUGGCGGAAUUCGUUGUGGAGCGGGGAAAUGCAUAGAUAUGACGAAGAACACCGAUUGCGUAGGCAGCUGACCAGACCGCAAAUGACGCUCAUGCACGAAAGUGCGGGGAUCGAACAGGAUUAGAUACCCUGGCAGUCCGCACAGUAAACGAUGAAUACUUGUUUUCGGCGAUAUAAUGUCGGAGGCAAAGCGAAAGCGAUAAGUAUUCCACCUGGGGAGUACGCCGGCAACGGUGAAACUCAAAGGAAUUGACGGGG